rnacentral:rRNA from 1 species
CCUACGGGUGGCAGCAGUGAGGAAUAUUGGUCAAUGGACGAGAGUCUGAACCAGCCAAGUAGCGUGAAGGAUGACUGCCCUAGGGGUUGUAAACUUCUUUUAUAUGGGAAUAAAAUGUUCCACGUGUGGGAUUUUGUAUGUACCAUAUGAAUAAGAAUCGGCUAACUCCGUGCCCGCAGCCGCGGUAAUACGGAGGAUCCGAGGGUUAUCCGGAUUGAAUGGGUUUAACGGAAGCGUAGGUGGAUUGUUAAGUCAGUUGUGAAAGUUUGGGGCUCAACCGUAAAAUUGCAGUUGAAACUGGCAGUCUUGAGGACAGUAGAGGUGGGCGGAAUGCGUGGUGUAGCGGUGAAAUGCUUAGAUAUCACGAAGAACUCCGAUUGCGAAGGCAGCUCACUGGACUGCAACUGACACUGAGGCUCGAAAGUGUGGGUAUCAAACAGGAGUAGAUACCCGAGUAGUC